ACAUCGGUAGUACAACGGUCCUACCACGCACCCCUGGACAGGGUGUUUUGUGGGUUCGAGUCUCAUCUGACGCA